CCUACGGGUGGCAGCAGUGAGGAAUAUUGGUCAAUGGGCGCGAGCCUGAACCAGCCAAGUCGCGUGAGGGAAGACGGUCCUAUGGAUUGUAAACCUCUUUUGUCGGGGAGCAAAAGACGCCACGCGUCGCGUUCCGAGAGUACCCGAAGAAAAAGCAUCGGCUAACUCCGUGCCAGCAGCCGCGGUAAUACGGAGGAUGCGAGCGUUAUCCGGAUUUAUUGGGUUUAAAGGGUGCGCAGGCGGAAGAUUAAGUCAGCGGUAAAAUUGAGGGGCUCAACCUCGUCGAGCCGUUGAAACUGGUUGUCUUGAGUGAGUGAGAAGUAUGCGGAAUGCGUGGUGUAGCGGUGAAAUGCAUAGAUAUCACGCAGAACUCCGAUUGCGAAGGCAGCAUACCGGCGCUCAACUGACGCUCAUGCACGAAAGUGUGGGUAUCGAACAGGAUUAGAUACCCCAGUAGUC
rnacentral:rRNA from 1 species